CCCCAGAGCUUCCUGGGGCUUUCCCUUUGUUCUGGCUCUUGCCUGGCAACCUAUUUUAGCUCGGACAGAAUUGACCCCACUUAUGUGGCACUUAACAACAAAUUAUAGCCAGCAAUUUGGAGCUUCUGUCGUUUGUUAUUUAAAUGUAUUUAUUCCUGGUUAUCACCCUACUACUGCAGCCUCAGAAGCUGGGAUAAAGGCAGCAAUUAGCAAAGCAAAACCUACAUGCAAUUUACUCCUGGUGUAAUAGCUCAGGGCGACUGGGGCAUGACUCCAGCUGCAUGCAGGUAGGAUGAAGUCUUUUCCAUCCUGUGCCGCCCUAGACUGCACCCUGCGUGUCCUCCAAGAGCAGUUCAGCUGAGGAGUCUUCUAGCUGUCACCUCUUAGGUCCUCCCAGCCACCCUGCAGCACUCCCACUACAGAGCCAGUGGCUCUGUUAGAAGACAGCUCAGUGUCUUCUCCUAGGGAGAGACCUUCUCUGAGCCUUUGCUCUCCCAUGGCUUUCAACAGGAUUCCUCAUUGCUCUUGUACGCAAACAGGACGGGUGGAAAUUUGCUCUUGAUAUUUUGAUGAUAACUACAUGAAUUCAGCAGAUGGGGCUUAAAGAAAACAUACCAGAAACCACUUGACCAGGUCAGAAGCCUCAUGACACAUGCUCUCAGCGCCCUAUGGUCAUGGGCUGUUACAGUCUUCCCUUUGGUUAGGGUGGUGAUGACAGAUGAAGCUUUGAUUUUUCUUUGUGAAUAAACCACCAUGAUUCCAAGUACAUUGGCAGUCCAGAGCCCACUCACAAGGCACUACUAAGCAACUAGGGACAGAGACAGUAAUGGAUGCUUCAGGUCCAACAGGAUAACUCUUCUAUACCAUGAUGGGUUUAAUCCUGGCCUAGCUCAGGAUGUGGACCUCUGAAAAAAGCUGCAGUGGUCUAAAGGAUCCUCAGCCUGGUAUCCACCAUAGGCUGGGUUGGUCAUCAGCCAUGCCCAAACUGAUGUGUGAUGGGUCAUCCAUUGACAGACUGAUGUUCAGAAAGUGGAGACUGGCUGCAACUCAGUGAACCCGGUGUCCAAAUGGAUGGACCAACCCAAACUGGAUCUGAUGGGACACCAGGCUGAUUUGCAUAGAGAGGCUGAGUCCAUCCCACUUGCACCCAAGCUGGGUCUAGCAGAUCUUUAUACGUCCCUACAGGGGUCUGGCAUGCUUACUGGGCUAUCUGCCAAUUUUCUGCACAUAUUCCCUUAUUGCUCUUAAGCAAAAAAAAUUUCUGGCAGUUCUUGCCAAAGAUGGGUGGAUUGUUUCCAACUUGGCUGCAAGCUAUGGGUUUGACAGGUAGUCAUCAGCUGCUGUUUUACAAUGGUGACAAGCUUCAGUGGGUAAUGAGGAGCACAGACAGCAUCCCCCAAGUUCUCAGGCACGUUGGUCUGAUUGCAGACCACACCAGCCUAUUGUGAUCAAUGACUGAACCCUUACGUGGGAUAUCUUUUGGUAGAUGGCACCAGUGGAAGUCAAUGCAUAGAUGGUUUCACUGUUUCAAAAGAUCAUUUAUUUCCCUUCCAAAUACACACACACACCAUGUAGGUCAAGACAAUCAUUGAUAUAACUCCGGCAUUUCCAAAUUUUGCCCACUACAUUUAGAAUAAAAUGUGUCAACAUAAGAGGUCUAUUUCAGGUGCCUCAUUAUCUGUGCUAACGGCACAUUGAGCUGUGUUCUUUGCUCUGUGCUGGCAUAUGUAUCCCUUCCUCCAUGGCCUGGAUCUUGAGGUCCAGGCUACAUACUCUACACUCACUGCUGAAACAAUGCACUGACUUUUAUAUUUAUUCAGGGAACCAUGUGACUGUAAGAUCCACACGUGGUAAUUCAACAGAAAAAUUAUACUAAACCUCAAAGGGAUGGAGCCUUUAUUUGAGCUGAUACAUUCUGAGUAACACUCGUUAGGAAAGUAAUUUGGAUUCUCCCUUGAGAGAUCUGGCUGUGUGAUAGGUACAUCAGAGAUAAAAGGAAGACUAGGGAAAUUGUGGGCCCUGUCCGGAAGGAGACGGGAGACCUGGUCACUUGGGAUAUGGAGAAGGCUGAGUUACUCAGUGACUUUUUUGGCUUGGUUGUCACUGGCAAGAGCUCCAGCUCCAUGAUCUGGCAAUGUGCGCUUGCAGUCCAGAAAGCCAACCAUAUCCUGGGCGGCACCAAAAGCAGUGUGGCCAGCAGGCUGAGGGAGGUGAUUUGUCCCCUCUGUUCUCCUAAGACCCCACCUGGAGCCCUAUGUUCAGCUCUCAGGCCCCUGGCUCUCAGGCCCCCAGCAGCGAGCUGCUUUCUGCCCCUGUCCACCACAUACUUCUACUGUAGGACUCCUCUGCCUUCUCACUGUAGCAGUGUCCCCAGACAAACCUGUCCCUUUCAAGAUCUUCUCCCCACCUCCCUGACAGACCCAUCCCUGACUUAUUGCUUUCCCUGUUCCCACACCCUGGCUUUUAACACAAGGCUCUGUAAUUGUGUGUUGGAUGCACAGAGCACUUCCCCUGUGAAAUCUCCUGAGCAUGCAGCUCCACAUCAGGUAGAGCCCAGCUGGGACUGGCCAACUCUCAGACAACUCAACUCUGUGUGAAUCAAAGAUAUCAGCCUUGUAAAUCCAGGCACUUACCUGAGCUGUGUGCUUCAGGAGUACACAGCCCAGCUCUCAGCCAUUUCCAGUGUUCCCAGUUGUGUGAUGGCCAUGACAGUGUGGGCUGGUCACCUUUCUCUGCAUGGUGUCGUCUCACCUUGAUGUAGAUGAUGCUCAAGCAAUCAAUUUUCUACAUGUGGGCUUCAAAGCUGUGGUACAAGGCUGACCUGCAGUGUAUGGGCUUUUUGCAUACAUGCUGGGUCCCUGCCUGUAGAAAUGAGCAGCAGCAGGACUGGUGGUGACACAGUGGCAGCCAGGGACACCCAGGCAGCUGAGAGACCUCCUGUGGCAGAUGCUGUGAGUGCACAGCCGUGCAGGGACCAGCUGCUUGCACCACAGCACAACUCAGUGAUUUGGGGAAGUUAAAACCGAAGCAAA